GUAGGUGGGCAAGCGUUGUCCGGGAAUUAUUGGGCGUAAAGCGCGCGCAGGGCGGUCCUUUAAGUCUGAUGUGAAAGCCCACGGCUCAACCGUGGAGGGUCAUUGGAAACUGGGGGACUUGAGUACAGAAGAGGAAAGCGGAAUUCCAAGUGUAGCGGUGAAAUGCGUAGAGAUUUGGAGGAACACCAGUGGCGAAGGCGGCUUUCUGGUCUGUAACUGACGCUGAGGCGCGAAAGCGUGGGGAGCAAACAGGAUUAGAUACCCUGGUAGUCCACGCCGUAAACGAUGAGUGCUAAGUGUUAGGGGGUUUCCGCCCCUUAGUGCUGCAGCUAACGCAUUAAGCACUCCGCCUGGGGAGUACGGCCGCAAAGGCUG
rnacentral:rRNA from 1 species